UGAUCCUGGCUCAGGAUGAACGCUAGCGGCAGGCUUAACACAUGCAAGUCGGAGGGGCAGGCGGGGUGUAGCAAUACACUGCCGGCGACCGGCGCACGGGUGCGUAACGCGUAUGCAACCUACCCAUAACAGGGGCAUAACACUGAGAAAUUGGUACUAAUUCCCCAUAACAUUCGAAGAGGCAUCUCUUUGGGUUGAAAACUCCGGUGGUUAUGGAUGGGCAUGCGUUGUAUUAGCUAGUUGGUGG
rnacentral:rRNA from 1 species